rnacentral:misc_RNA from 1 species
AACAUGGGAAAGUUUGGAGUCAGUUAGACGAAAUAAAGUAGGCUUGAAAGGGCCAAUGGCCACACCGAUUGGCAAAGGCCAUCGAUCUCUGAAUCUCACUCUCAGGAAAGAACUUAAUUUGUAUGCCAAUGUCAGGCCUUGCAACAGCCUGCCGGGCUAUAAAACCCGGUAUGAUGAUGUGAAUCUUAUUACCAUCCGCGAAAAUACGGAAGGGGAAUACAGUGGACUCGAACAUCAAGUGGUGAGAGGUGUUGUUGA